GAUGAACGCUGACAGAAUGCAUAACACAUGCAAGUCAACUGUGGCGGACGGGUGAGUAACGCGUAAAGAACUUGCCUCACAGCUAGGGACAACAUUUGGAAACGAAUGCUAAUACCUGAUACUGUGAGAGAGCUUUGCGUCCCAUUAGCUAGUUGGAGAGGUAACGGCUCACCAAGGCGAUGAUGGGUAGCCGGCCUGAGAGGGUGAUCGGCCACAAGGGGACUGAGACACGGCCCUUACUCCUCCGUGAUGCAGCAUUGGUGAAUAUUGGACAAUGGACCAAAGUCUGAUCCAGCAAUUCUGUUUGCACGAUGAAGUUUUCGUAAUGUAAAGUGCUUUCAGUUGGGAAGCGGUACCAACAGAAGAAGUGACGGCUAAAUACGUGCCAGCAGCCGCGGUAAUAC
rnacentral:rRNA from 1 species